UGAGGUCCUUGAAGUAACCCUUCUUGGACAUUUGGUCAAUUUGAAACAAUACAGAGAUGAUCAGCAGUUCCCCUGCAUAAGGAUGAACCGUUUUACAAAGAGAUUUAUUCGUUUUUUUUUUACAUCUCUUUAGGUUACAUAUAUAAUAUAAGAGUGUUA